rnacentral:rRNA from 1 species
CCUACGGGUGGCAGCAGUGAGGAAUAUUGGUCAAUGGCCGGAAGGCUGAACCAGCCAUGCCGCGUGAAGGUCAGUGCCCUAUGGGCGUUAAACUUCUUUUGUGCGGGAGCAAUACUGGUCACGUGUGGCCAGACGAGAGUACCGUACGAAUAAGCAUCGGCUAACUCCGUGCCAGCAGCCGCGGUAAUACGGGGGAUGCAAGCGUUAUCCGGAUUUAUUGGGUUUAACGGGUGCGUAGGCUGGGAGGUAAGUCAGCGGUGAAAUGCCCCCGCUCAACGGGGUGAAGUGCCAUUGAUACGGCCUGGCUGGAAUGCGGAUGCCGUGGGAGGAAUGUGUGGUGUAGCGGUGAAAUGCAUAGAUAUCACACAGAACACCGAUUGCGAAGGCAUCUCACGAAUCCGCGAUUGACGCUGAUGCACGAAAGCGUGGGUAUCAAACAGGAUUAGAUACCCGUGUAGUC